rnacentral:rRNA from 1 species
UCAUAUGCUUGUCCCAAAGCUUAAGCCAUGCAUGUCUCCGAUUUAGUUGCUUGAUCUCGAAUCUGCGAACGGCUCCGUAUAUCUGUUAUCACCCACCGCCCUCUAACACAGGCGGAUAUCCACGGUAAUUCUGUGGCUAAUACGUGUGUCCAACCCGGGGAAGCUGCUGGGCCCAGAAGCCCGGCGGCAUCCCCGGCAUUGCCAUGGAACCAACGGCAGCCCCUCGGGGCAGCCCGCGCGACCGCCGGCAAUUUAACCUGACCGCCUAAGGUACGUAGGCGGCGCAGGCGAUGGAUACCAGACCUAUCAACUAGAUGCCCAAUUCUGGCCUGGGCAUGGUGAUAACGGGUACAGAGGAUCAGGGUUCGGUCCUGGAGAGGAAGCCUAAGAGAUCGCUUCUACUUCUAAGGAAGGCAGCAGGCGCGCAACGUUCCCAAUGGGGAUACCCUGAGGACGUGAAGGGACAUAUUAAUGCCUGGCCCAUAAAGCCGGGCAAUUGAAAUGGGGGACCGCCAAACCCCACACCGAGUAACAAUUGGAG